GGAAACCCUGACGCAGCAACGCCGCGUGAGUGAAGAAGGCCCUUGGGUCGUAAAGCUCUGUCAACUGGGAAGAAAUUAGCAUCAUUUAAUAGAUGUUGCUAUUGACGGUACCAGUGGAGGAAGCGCCGGCUAACUCCGUGCCAGCAGCCGCGGUAACACGGGGGGCGCAAGCGUUAUUCGGAAUUAUUGGGCGUAAAGGGCGCGUAGGCGGUCUUGUCGGUCAGGUGUGAAAGCCCGGGGCUCAACCCUGGAAGUGCACUUGAAACAGCAAGACUUGAGUACGGGAGAGGAAAGCGGAAUUCCUGGUGUAGAGGUGAAAUUCGUAGAUAUCAGGAGGAACACCGAUGGCGAAGGCAGCUUUCUGGACCGAUACUGACGCUGAGGCGCGAAGGCGUGGGUAGCGAACGGGAUUAGAUACCCCGGUAGUCC
rnacentral:rRNA from 1 species